rnacentral:tRNA from 1 species
AGGCCGUUAGUCCAAAAAAGACACUUGAUUUCGGCUCAAGAAAUCGUAAUUAAACUUACGACAGCCUU